CGUCCCUUCCCUCUCUACGAGUUCCACGCGUUUCUCCUCUUGUCCCUACGACCCUUCCCGCCCCACUACUUUGUCGUGUGGCGCGCCCCUUGCGUCACCUCGCGAACUUCAACCAAGCUACCUAUCCCCACCAAACGUCUGGCCAAGCAGUGAAAGAGAGUCAACGCGAGGAAGAGAAGCACGCACACGCCACGUAUAAGAGAGAGAUGGAUGGAACGAGAAUGCAGCGCAUGCGCAGUACAUCAGUCGCGGCACGCGGUCGCGCCCAAACGCAUCUUCUCGCGAUUCUCAUAUUGAUGUACUACGCGCUUGCACUCACGGCGAACCGAUUGGGUGCCUCGCGAAUACCGAACAUCUCGUACGUGAAGGAUGAACGAAGCAGCAUCUCGUUAAGAAAUCGCUGCCAGAUAUACAACCGCUAAGCACCUUCGGUUGAGUUACUUUGAAAGCGUUCAAGAAUUCGAUCAGCGACAGAUCACCGACACGCGUGACAAGGAGUUGAAUAUCCUGUUCUGUUACCAUCUACGCGCGACGGAGAAACGUCGGCGCGCAACCGAGAGACUCGGCGAACUCAAGCCAUCCUCGCCUCUUUUCUUCACCCUUCUACGCCACUAGCUGGAUGUGAGUUACCGCGCUACGGAAUGGACUCGUCGAAUUAUUUUCCUUGAAUGCCGCCGCGGUAUCGGUUUCGCGAUCGCGGUACUGCCAGAGGGAUGAUAUUAAAAUUGAAAUGGGCUCGAACGAUGCCUCGAUUCUUUGGAAAGGGGCUUUAAAUAAAGGACUUUGCUGCCAACUUUCUUCCGCGUGGAUACGCCGCGCGCGGCUUUCUUUGCCUUUCAACGCACGACACUGACCAUCCCUGUGUCUCUUGAAAAAUUCAACGAAUCCAGCGGAACGAUCCUGGCUCACGGUUAAUUGGCCUCCGACACUCCAUUUCGCAAAUUGCAAAAAGCAAUGCCAGGAUACUGUUGUACGUAGGUGCUGGCGUCGAGUGGCUGCAGUUGUUACUGGAAAAUCGCUGGGACGGACGAAAGGAAUUCGAACGAUGGACGCGCUUACGCGUGUGACCAAGUGCAUCGUGCAGGGAAUCAGAAAUUAAGUCUGCUGGCAUGGCUGAUGUUGAACAAUUGUUAGUUUCGCCCCGUUCGUAUUAGCUGAGAUCACUUUGACAAGAUGGUCGUUUGCGAGUCAAAUUAUUGAUUAAAUCGAAUUUAAAUUAUCGAAUGAAGAAAAAGGACAUUAUUAUGGAAAAUAAAUAGAGAAUUCCAAGAAUAUCUGAGUCCAUAUCGCGAGGAUGUUCUGUCACAGAAGAUGGUAUAACGAUGACUGCAUAAAUAUUUCAAGCAUCAAAUUGUUAUAUCUGAACAAGUACGAUGUGAUUAUCUCUUAAUAUUACGAGAUGAACUUGUCUAAAGCCUGAUAUUCGACGUUCUUUACAAGCAACGUGGCAAGUCGACGCUAUAUUAGCCCUCAUCGAGAUCCUCUUUCGCAGACGAGAUCAUCAGACGCACCGGUUCACGGUCGUCGCGUACAAACAAUGAUUAUUAAGUUUGAGAUACGGGACUAGAUUGGCUGGGUAAAUUAGGCACAUUAGCCUGUAUGCACAAGGCCGAGAUAGUAACGCUCGUUGUUCCGAGACAGCAUCUUCGUUGCAAGGGAACGAAGAACGGUUGGAACGCGAGUCGCGCGAGAGGAAAAAGGCCAGGAACAAGAAAACUCCAUUACCCCGCUCCUUGCCAAGCAUUCUUGCCGGUGAAAGAUCUUGCUUCAACGAUCGCUAAUUUCUCGUAACAGAAUCCUUUCGACGCCCUUUUAACAUCCACGUCAGGAAAGAUCCUCGGGUUUCCUCGCGUACGCUGCUUUGUGUGAAGGAUAUGAUUGCCGAGAUACGAUCGCUUGAAAUGUUUCUUCGGCGACAUGACAAAAUGAGAAUUAGGUGUGAGAAAAAUUGUUGGUUCCGAUCGAAUCGAUCGACGGAUGUUUUUUUCGCCGAGAAUUUUUUAUACUUUGGUUACCUAACGUUAUCAUCAAAUUUAAUAGAGUUAUGAAACAUGUGUUUAAGAAAGUUUUUGAUUGGUUUUAGAAUAUUUUUUUUUUAAAUAUCUGGAAAAAUAUAUAGUUUGAUAUUGGAGUAUUUUAGAUUCUUUUUACUUCAAUUUCGAUUAACGCAUCAAUUAACGUUAUUAAAUGAUUAUUCUACCUCUGGAGUCGUGAAGCCGUUUCAUCAGAAAUGUUUUUAAUACGCACGACCAUUAUUAUUAUUAUU